GAUGAACGCUGGCGGCGUGCUUAACACAUGCAAGUCGAACGAAGCACCUUGAUUCGAUUCUUCGGAUGAAGAUCUUGGUGACUGAGUGGCGGACGGGUGAGUAACGCGUGGGUAACCUGCCUCAUACAGGGGGAUAACAGUUAGAAAUGACUGCUAAUACCGCAUAAGACCACAGCACCGCAUGGUGCAGGGGUAAAAACUCCGGUGGUAUGAGAUGGACCCGCGUCUGAUUAGGUAGUUGGUGGGGUAACGGCCUACCAAGCCGACGAUCAGUAGCCGAACUGAAAGGGUGACCGGCGACAUUGGGACUGAGACACGGCCCAAACUCCUACGGGAGGCAGCAGUGGGGAAUAUUGCACAAUGGGGGAAACCCUGAUGCAGCGACGCCGCGUGAGCGAUGAAGUAUUUCGGUAUGUAAAGCUCUAUCAGCAGGGAAGAAAAUGACGGUACCUGACUAAGAAGCACCGGCUAAAUACGUG
rnacentral:rRNA from 1 species